CACACCCCAACAGCCCCAGGCGUGAGCCACCCUGUCUGGACGGCCCCCAAAUGUGCCCUGGGACACCCUGGGAAGCCCGUGGGACUGAGCCCACGAUGCCGGAAGUGCCACGUGAGUGGCUGCAGCAGCUGCGCUUGAACAAUGGUGACUGCGUGCAAGAGGGUGCCCUGGCCCGUGCCCUCAGCAUUGGCGCCUCAAUGCGGGCCUCUGUGGAUGAGGAAGACACCGUAACUGCACCUGAGGAUGUCCCCAGGCGUGAGCCACCCUGUCUGGACGGCCCCCAAAUGUGCCCUGGGACACCCUGGGAAGCCCGUGGGACUGAGCCCACGAUGCCGG